ensembl:snRNA U6 U6 spliceosomal RNA
GAGCUCACUUCCACAGCACACACGUGAAAAUUAGAACCAUUCAGAGAAGACGAGCACCACCCCUGCACAAAGAUGACAUGAACCUUGUGAAGCAUUCCAUAUUCGG